UGGGGGAUAUUGCACAAUGGGCGAAAGCCUGAUGCAGCAACGCCGCGUGAGGGAAGACGGUCUUCGGAUUGUAAACCUUUAGCUUUGGGGAAGAAACAAAUGACGGUACCCAAAGGGGCAGCCACGGCUAACUACGUGCCAGCAGCCGCGGUAAUACGUAGGUGGCAAGCGUUGUCCGGAAUUACUGGGUGUAAAGGGAGCGCAGGCGGGGAGACAAGUCAGCUGUGAAAACUAUGGGCUUAACCCAUAGAUUGCAGUUGAAACUGUUUUUCUUGAGUGGAGUAGAGGUAGGUGGAAUUCCGAGUGUAGCGGUGAAAUGCGUAGAUAUUCGGAUGAGCACCAGUGGCGAAGGCGGCCUACUGGUCUCUAACUCACCCUGCGUCUCUAAAGUGUGCUGAGCGAAUAGGAUUAUAUAGCCCUGUACGC
rnacentral:rRNA from 1 species